ACAGCAGUAGCCACGGUAAUACAGAGGGUGCAAGCGUUAAUCGGAAUUACUGGGCGUAAAGCGCGCGUAGGUGGUUUGUUAAGUUGGAUGUGAAAUCCCCGGGCUCAACCUGGGAACUGCAUCCAAAACUGGCAAGCUAGAGUAUGGUAGAGGGUGGUGGAAUUUCCUGUGUAGCGGUGAAAUGCGUAGAUAUAGGAAGGAACACCAGUGGCGAAGGCGACCACCUGGACUGAUACUGACACUGAGGUGCGAAAGCGUGGGGAGCAAACAGGAUUAGAUACCCCGGUAGUCCCUGUCUCUUAUAC
rnacentral:rRNA from 1 species